rnacentral:lncRNA from 1 species
CUGCAGCUGAACGACUACGCCGGAUUCUUGGCGGCGAGGUUUGGUGAGUGCGAGGAAUUUCUCUACUGAGUUUUACCCAGCUUUUGU